GCUCCGGGACCCGGAGGACACACAGGAAUCCACACGCUGUGUAUAUUAGCAACCAUUUUGUUUGAGACGGAGUUUCACCAUGUUGGCCAGGCUGAUCUCAAACUCCUGACCUUGAAUGAUCCACCCGCCUUGGCCUCCCAAAGUGCUGGGAUUACAGAUGUCUCUCCAGCCUCCAGCCCAUCCUUGCCUCAGGUAGAUGUUGAGAGCCACAGGUCUAUGCUAUCAGCCUCCUCUAGGUUAAAACUCUCUGAUGCCAUCCCAGUUUUCUCAAGAGAAAGUACAAAGUCCUUGGCAUGGCCCCUAAGGGCUUUCAUGGUUUAGUUGUGCCUCUCUCCAGCCGCACCCCACCAUCUCCCCUCACUAUGCAUUCCGACAGCGACCUUGCAGAUCCUCAGAUGUGCUGAGCUGCCUCCUGACGUGGCCUUUGCCCAUUCUUCUCCCUCUGCAGAAAAGAGUCUCCCCUACCCCACACACCCUCCCUCACUCCAGCUAACUUCUUUCCAUGUUUGCCUAAUCCACUCAAGCAUCAGUUCUGCAUGGAACCCUUCCCUGACUUCACAGCCCACCCUCCUGUCUCCCCACAGGUCUAGAUGUGUGGCUACACCCCCUAACCUUGUACACAUGUCAUUUCCUUUAAAAUAGGCACCAUAUUUAUAAUAAUACGCUCAUCUUUGUGUGUGUCUGACUACAUGUCUGCCUUCUCCACCAGACAGUAUGCUCCACAAGGGCAGGAAGUCAUUGUUCCCAGAACUUUUCAGGGAGCAAAUGCUCAGUAAAUGUUUAAGAACAACUUGUUAAAGCAAACUAAAUAUGGCCUGAGGACUCUACACCUCUAUAUUUGAGUCCUUGUGAAUGAACUGCAACUUAACUUAAUAGGUAGACAAGAUUGAAAACCUAAUUGAGGAGUAUGUGCCUAUAACAAUAGCUGAGACUUGGCCAAUCCCAGCAGCCCUACUUCAACCAUACACUGACUGCUGAAUGUUAAAAUAAGGCAAAGGACAAGCUGUAACCAAUCCAGCUGCUCUGUAACUCACUUCCGAUUUCUGUGUGUCAUUUCCUAUUUUUUUUUUUUGGUCUAUAAGUCUUCCACCAUGUGGCUGCACUGUAUGUAGUCUCUCUGAAUCUGUUGUGAUUGUGGGGGCUGCCGAUUAGCGAAUCAUUCCUUGCUUAACUAAACAUUAAAUUUAAUUUGGCUGAAGUUUUUCUUUUAACAAACUGAAUUUAAAAAUUGUUUUAUAUAACACAAGUGAUUUUAAAAAUGAAAUUGUAAGAAAUGACAAAGAAAUACACAAAAAGUAAAACUAAAUAAUGUUAAGUUCAAC
rnacentral:lncRNA from 1 species